rnacentral:rRNA from 1 species
UUUAUUGGAGAGUUUGAUCCUGGCUCAGGAUGAACGCUGGCGGCGUGCCUAAUACAUGCAAGUCGAGCGAAUGGAUUGAGAGCUUGCUCUCAAGAAGUUAGCGGCGGACGGGUGAGUAACACGUGGGUAACCUGCCCAUAAGACUGGGAUAACUCCGGGAAACCGGGGCUAAUACCGGAUAACAUUUUGAACUGCAUGGUUCGAAA